rnacentral:rRNA from 1 species
GAUGAACGCUGGCGGCGUGCCUAAUACAUGCAAGUCGAGCGAAUGGAUUAAGAGCUUGCUCUUAUGAAGUUAGCGGCGGACGGGUGAGUAACACGUGGGUAACCUGCCCAUAAGACUGGGAUAACUCCGGGAAACCGGGGCUAAUACCGGAUAACAUUUUGAACCGCAUGGUUCGAAAUUGAAAAGCGGCUUCGGCUGUCACUUAUGGAUGGACCCGCGUCGCAUUAGCUAGUUGGUGAGGUCACGGCUCACCAAGGCAACGAUGCGUAGCCGACCUGAGAGGGCGAUCGGCCACACUGGGACUGAGACACGGCCCAGACUCCUACGGGAGGCAGCAGUAGGGAAUCUUCCGCAAUGGACGAAAGUCUGACGGAGCAACGCCGCGUGAGUGAUGAAGGCUUUCGGGUCGUAAAACUCUGUUGUUAGGGAAGAACAAGUGCUAGUUGAAUAAGCUGACACCUUGACGGUACCUAACCAGAAAGCCACGGCUAACUACGUGCCAGCCGCCGCCGUAA